GACGAAGGGGGCUAGCGUUGUUCGGAAUUACUGGGCGUAAAGCGCGUGUAGGCGGUUAUCCAAGUCGGGUGUGAAAGCCUUGAGCUCAACUCAAGAAAUGCAUUCGGUACUGGGUGACUAGAGGACCGGAGAGGAUAGUGGAAUUCCCAGUGUAGUGGUGAAAUACGUAGAGAUUGGGAAGAACACCAGUGGCGAAGGCGGCUAUCUGGACGGUUUCUGACGCUAAGACGCGAAAGCGUGGGGAGCGAACAGG
rnacentral:rRNA from 1 species